UCCGUGAAAUUAAUCCAAACUCAGAUUUUUCCAAAGCUUUCCUGAUGGGUUAGAGGAACCACUUUAAAGUCUCCCAUGUGGUCCACCCAAAAGUGUUGUAAAUGAGCUCCAGCUGAGGUUCUGAGCAGACCAUUUGGAGAGAACACAUGACACCUGUCAUACUGAUUAGGGUCAAAGCCCAAAAGGAAACGUGCUAGCCAGCCAUUUGUGCGACAGUGAAUUAUUUAUAUAAAGGCCCGAAUACAAUUUGAUUGAAAUACAGAGAACAUGUUGUGCAAGUGAAGGCUUGACGUCACUGACCCAGGCAAUAUCCGGGACUUAUGUGGAUCUCAAAGAUGGCCACGCUGCUCCCAGCCAUCCUCCCAGUGUGAAGGGUUGCCUGGAGUUUGGGGACUCUCCAAGCUGACUGGCAAAAAGCAGACUGCACCGUGGAUGGGUUGCCAGGCAAUCACAAAGUACUUAUAAGGACAGAAAAUCGUUCACACUCACAAGCGCACUCAGUGGAAACCGAAGCUAUUGACGUUGGGACUUGCAGGCUUCCUGUGCCGCUGAUUUGGUAGACCAACCUCAUGCAGCUCCACUCACUCUGCUCCAGAACUGGACUCAACAAGACUCCCGUCGCAUCCAGUCCAGAUGUUCAAGGAUGUCGGAAUCAAUGGAGACCAGAUGUGGUUCCUCUCACCAGCAUUCAAAAUUCGAGCCAUCUCCAUUGACAAAAUGCAAGAUUUAGCUUGCCAAAGGUGUAUAUUUUUAUUUGAGGUGUUGGCUUCGAAGUUGCAGGAUCCUGGCAGCAACUCUUUGCGAGCUUGGAUGGCGGCUUCAGAGGAGAGUGGGGAGGAAAGUGAGAAAACAGUCAACGGCAAGUAUGAAUCACAGAAAUUGGCAUAAACAAAAACAUACCCUCAUGCAGCAGGACGGGCAUCACCUUUGAAAAGUACUUACCAGCCAGAGC